AUGGUUUGUACAUAUCUGCUCUGCAGUCAUUGCACUUCCAGAAGUCAGGAGUCUUGUUGCCAUGAUAUACAGAUCAGUGGAUGCACCAAAACCUUCUGAAGUACCAGGCUGUGAUUUGUGACCAUUUGCAUUUUUGCUGACAGGUACUAAGGAAGUUGUUUGAGUCCAAUAGCUGUGGACAGAAGUUCAACAAGAGGCCAACAUUUUGCUCUGCCUCAGUGGAAAAACCCAGGUCCACUCAACACUGAUUGCAUUACAAGUGACUUUCUACAAGGGUUACACUCUGAAAAAUUAUAUUUCCUUGAUGUCCAUGGAGCAAUUGCAGAUGCUCUUCAAGCACCUUGAGAAGAUAAGCUGCUGUCACAGUGCUUUACUUCCAGCUUCUAUUGUCUUCUAAGGAAGCAGAGAUUUUCAGGGAAGACUACGGGACUUGGGUCUGCCAUUGUGUUUCUGCAGGGUGAUAGCACUGCUUGCCUGCUUGCUGCACUGCUGUAGCAGGAAGAUGUCAUGCUGAGAGGAAACACAGCUGAUUCUAAAGACAGAGCGGCACAGUGGACUUCCAUGGACAUUAAAAUGCUGGUCACUACAAGAAUCUGCUACAUGGCUCGUACUGAUGCUCUUGCAUUAGCUUUUCAAAGAGCAGCAAUCCUGAAACAUGUCUGCAAUCACACCGGGGUGCCAGAAAACCUUAGGGUCAUUGUUAAGGCAUGAGUUCUGGUAUCUGCAAACAGGGCUUCCAGGAUCAAGAAUUUUUAUAGGUAUAACUAGUUAUGAUGUAAGAGACAAAAAUACACACAGAAACACAAAUAAUAUCAAAUUUCUCUAAAUAAAUUAUUAGUAAGGAAAUUAAAUAUUAUGUUUUUAAAACGAGGGAUGGAAAGAAUUAUUGCUGGGACGGCGAGCAAGUAGCAGAGUUGUAAUUACUCAGCUUUCAUCUUCAUCUCGACUGAGGGUCAAUGGAAUAAAUGCGGUUCCCCGCCGCCACCGGGGGGCGAUGCUCUCCCAAGUACUUCGAGAAAGAGACACAAAUAACACAUUCCGGGCUGUCCCGGUGAAAUGUUAGCAUAGGUCUGCUUAAAGAGGUUUCUACAAGUACAUUUUAAAAGGUAAGAAUAUUUUGGCAGCUAACUUUUAAUCACGUUCCUAGAAUUCUUGAAUCUUUGACUUAAUUCAGUUUAAAAAUUAAUUUAGAAAUGACUGUGUCUUAAGGAACUGGAAUGUUUAAUGUAUUCUCCUUGAUUUAAGUUAAUAAAGAUUAUUAUUAAAUAUCUUA